GGGGGAUAUAGCUCAGUGGUAAAGUAUUCGACUGCCGAUUGAGCGGUCUCCGGUUCUAACCCGAGUUCCCU